rnacentral:rRNA from 1 species
UACGUAGGCAGCAAGCGUUGUUCGGAGUUACUGGGCGUAAAGAGUGCGUAGGCGGUGCUUCAAGUCUGUUGUGAAAUCUCCUGGCUUAACUGGGAGGGUGCGGUGGAAACUGAAGUGCUUGAGUAUGGGAGAGGUAAGCGGAAUUCCUGGUGUAGCGGUGAAAUGCGUAGAUAUCAGGAGGAACACCGGUGGUGUAGACGGCUUACUGGACCAUGACUGACGCUGAGGCACGAAAGCGUGGGUAGCAAACAGGAUUAGAAACCCUAGUAGU